UUGUCUUCGGGGCGGGGCGAAAUUCCCCACCGGCGGUGAUAGUCCGCGAGCGAGCCUGACGGCGAGCAGGAACCGGCGCAAUUCCGGUACCGACAGUAUAGUCUGGAUGAGAGAAGGCG
rnacentral:ncRNA from 1 species